rnacentral:snoRNA from 1 species
AUCCUUCUUAAAAGCACUUGCUUUGUCUGCUCAGUGGCUGGGUGAGUCGUCAAUGAAGGAAUAAUAAAUCCCAUUGCUUAUGGGUGAGAUGGCAGUCGCCAUGUGCUGGUAAAUCUCAAUCCGUGAUGGAACAAAU